UGAGAAUUCAGUUGGGUAAUCAUGACACAUGCUUUGUAAACUGUAAGAUCGCUGUGGCAGGCAUUGAUGUGAUUCUCUAAAUAUUUCUGGUUCCAGGCAUGUGGUAGGUUUUCACAUCCCUCUUGAAGUUAAGUAUGGCCAUGUGACUUGCGUAGGCCAGUGGGAUGGAGCAAAAGAUGGACAUCAUCACAUCUGAGUGAAGCUGUAAGAGCACAGUCAGUGUGCAAUUCCUGUGCUCCCUCUCCCUCUGCCACAGCAAUGUUCCAGCUGUGUUAAUUCACCUUCGUGCAUUUCUACGCUUGGACAUGGAAUAGGUGAACAGUUUGCCAGUCUUUGAUGGGUGCUGCUUUAUAAUACAAUUGAACAGAGGUUCUCAACCUGGCCCCCACCUCAACCCAAUGAAGUCAAAAUUUCUACAUUUAAGGGCCCAAACAUCAGUAAUUUUUUUUUUCAAAACUUCCUAUUUGGUUCUAUUGUGAAUCUAGGGUUUAGAACCAUUGGGUUAGAGUCGUGGGCUCUUGUUGGUCAGACAGAUUUGGAUUCAAAAUCUGGGUUCACUGAGGAAGUUAUCUACCCUUUUAGUUUUGCCACCUGUAAAAAGGAUAGUAUUAAGUAUAAAAGGAUGUGUAGUAGGUAAAGGAGCAUCAUCCCUAUCUAAGAUCAAGUACCCAGGAGAUUAUGAUUACUGUGGUUUCUUUUUAAAUGAAUGGGGACUACGUGUCAGGGAGAGCAGGAAGGAAUGUCUCCAUUUGCAAUGAAGCAAACCCACCUGGACAGCGUUUGAGAAGCGACUUGCCCAAGUUCUCAUGAUAGGAUCCUGUUUCCUCCAAAUCUGAUUUCAUUGUCGUCAUUCUGUGCUGCGUCUCCUUUAAAUUUCAGCUCCUUAGUUACAUCAGAUAGCAUUCCCUUAAACCAGCCAACAGAAAGGAGUUGGGCGCCUUUAGGAAGGGAAUGUGGGCUGCCAAGAACCUUGCACAGUUCUGCCUCCAGCUGCACCCAGUCUGCUUUGUUCCUUCUUAGAAUAUUCUGCUGGACAUAGCUCAGGGCUUGGGGAAGUGCAGGCACUUUUCUAGUAAGUGGGUAUGUGGGCCCUGGGGUCUCAGGGAGGCAUAAUGGUUGGUGCAGUGGUGAAAGGGUGGGACAUUGGAGUCGUUAUGCUUGAGGCUCUGGCUCCAAGACUUGGAGCUGUGUGACUUCACACCUCUUCAGUGGUGAUGAUAAUAGCUUUUAGAGUUGUAAGAAGGGCUGAAUAAACAGAUUUUGCCACUUGCGGAUGUGUGACCCUGGAUUAAUUACUUAACCUUUGAUAUCCUCAAUAUUUUCGUCUGUCAAAUGGGGUGAUAAUAAUAGUGCUUACCUUGUAGGGUACUUGCG
rnacentral:lncRNA from 1 species